UACGAAGGGGGCUAGCGUUGCUCGGAAUCACUGGGCGUAAAGCGCACGUAGGCGGAUUGCUAAGUCAGGGGUGAAAUCCUGGAGCUCAACUCCAGAACUGCCUUUGAUACUGGCGAUCUCGAGUCCGGGAGAGGUGAGUGGAACUGCGAGUGUAGAGGUGAAAUUCGUAGAUAUUCGGCAAGAACACCAGUGGCGAAGGCGGCUCACUGGCCCGGUACUGACGCUGAGGUGCGAAAGCGUGGGGAGCAAACAGG
rnacentral:rRNA from 1 species